rnacentral:rRNA from 1 species
UACGGGGGGGGCAAGCGUUGUUCGGAAUUACUGGGCGUAAAGGGUUCGUAGGUGGCUUGCUAAGUCUGACGUGAAAUCCCUCAGCUUAACUGGGGAACUGCGUCUGAUACUGGCGAGCUUGAGUGCAGGAGAGGAACGCGGAAUUCCAGGUGUAGCGGUGAAAUGCGUAGAGAUGUGGAGGAACACCGAUGGCGAAGGCAGCCUUCUGGGCCAACACUGACGCUCAUGCACGAAAGCGUGGGGAGCAAACAGG